GUAGGUGAACCUGCGGAAGGAUCAUUAUUGAAAAGGGAACCCUUCGGGGUUCAACCUUCAACCCCAUGUUUUAACUACCUGUUUCUUUGGCGGGUUCGCCCGUCAGAAGUUUUCUCAAACCAUUCUAAAUGUGUCAUCUGAAUCCCAUAAUAAAUAAAUUAAAACUUUCAACAACGGAUCUCUUGGUUCUGGCAUCGAUGAAGAACGCAGCAUCUGACUGACUCAGGUCUGUAUUAUCUCGUAUGCCGUC
rnacentral:misc_RNA from 1 species